rnacentral:rRNA from 1 species
AUUGAACGCUGGCGGCAGGCCUAACACAUGCAAGUCGAGCGGAUGAAGGGAGCUUGCUCCUGGAUUCAGCGGCGGACGGGUGAGUAAUGCCUAGGAAUCUGCCUGGGAGUGGGGGAUAACGUCCGGAAACGGGCGCUAAUACCGCAUACGUCCUGAGGGAGAAAGUGGGGGAGCUUCGGACCUCACGCUCUCAGAUGAGCCUAGGUCGGAUUAGCUAGUUGGUGGGGUAAAGGCCUACCAAGGCGACGAUCCGUAACUGGUCUGAGAGGAGGGUCAGUCACAGAGAAAGUGAGCCACGGCCCGGGCACUAAGGGACGGCGCAGGUGGGAACUUUAGGCAACUGGGGGAAAUCUUGUUCAAGCCUGGCGAGGCGGGUGAAGAAGGUCUUCGGGUGGUAAGGCGCUUUACGGGGGGGGAAAGGCAGUAAGUUAAUACCUUGCUGUAUUGACGUUACCAACAGAAGAAGCACCGGCUAACUUCGUG